GAAAUGUGAUAAGUAGUGUGAAUUGCAGAAUUCAGUGAAUCAUCGAAUCUUUGAACGCACAUUGCGCCCCUUGGUAUUCCAUGGGGCAUGCCUGUUCGAGCGUCAUUUGUACCCUCAAGCUCUGCUUGGUGUUGGGUGUUUGUCCCGUCUCCGCGCGUGGACUCGCCCCAAAGUGAUUGGCAGCCGGCGUACUGGUCCCGGAGCGCAGCACAUGUCGCGCAAACGAGUGCCUUGGUACGGCGGCGUCCAUAAGCCCCUCUCUCACGCUCUUGACCUCGGAUCAGGUAGGGAUACCCGCUGAACUUAAGC
rnacentral:misc_RNA from 1 species